UAUGACCAGAAAUGAGAUUGGUGGUUUGCA
rnacentral:piRNA from 1 species